UGUGGGAGCGAGCUUGCUCGCGAUGGCGUCGGAUCAGUCGAUAUUGAUGUUGACUGUUCGACGCUAUCGCGAGCAAGCUCGCUCCCACA
rnacentral:misc_RNA from 1 species